rnacentral:rRNA from 1 species
AUGGAUAAAGACAUGUUAAUCCAGCUAUGGAUGGCAAAUGACUUUAUUGCAUCAGAAAUAAGAGGCCAACACAUUUUCGAUGUGCUGGUUUGGAGAUGUUUCCUCCAAGUAGAUGUGGAGAUUCAAGAGAAUCUGCUCUUCAAACUUCAAGAUGAGUCUUCGUUAAAAAAAUUAUAUAAAGAUGAGUUCAUCCACAAACCAACUACCUGCAAGAUGGAUGAUCUCAUGCAUGAUCUUGCUAACUUCGUAAGUGGAAAUGAUUGCUCCAUUCUGCAAGAAUCUUCAUCAUGUCAAGUAAUUCUGCAAGAACCCACAGAUGCCAGCUCAUUACAGCAUGAGCUUGCAAACAUUGAAGCUCAUUGGUUGUCAAAAUCUUAA